AGAGUUUGAUCAUGGCUCAGAUUGAACGCUGGCGGCAGGCCUAACACAUGCAAGUCGAACGGUAACAGAAAAAAGCUUGCUUCUUCGCUGACGAGUGGCGGACGGGUGAGUAAUGUCUGGGAAACUGCCUGAUGGAGGGGGAUAACUACUGGAAACGGUAGCUAAUACCGCAUAACGUCGCAAGACCAAAGAGGGGGACCUUCGGGCCUCUUGCCAUCGGAUGUGCCCAGAUGGGAUUAGCUUGUUGGUGGGGUAACGGCUCACCAAGGCGACGAUCCCUAGCUGGUCUGAGAGGAUGACCAGCCACACUGGAACUGAGACACGGUCCAGACUCCUACGGGAGGCAGCAGUGGGGAAUAUUGCACAAUGGGCGCAAGCCUGAUGCAGCCAUGCCGCGUGUAUGAAGAAGGCCUUCGGGUUGUAAAGUACUUUCAGCGGGGAGGAAGGGAGUAAAGUUAAUACCUUUGCUCAUUGACGUUACCCGCAGAAGAAGCACCGGCUAACUCCGUGCCAGCAGCCGCGGUAAUACGGAGGGUGCAAGCGUUAAUCGGAAUUACUGGGCGUAAAGCGCACGCAGGCGGUUUGUUAAGUCAGAUGUGAAAUCCCCGGGCUCAACCUGGGAACUGCAUCUGAUACUGGCAAGCUUGAGUCUCGUAGAGGGGGGUAGAAUUCCAGGUGUAGCGGUGAAAUGCGUAGAGAUCUGGAGGAAUACCGGUGGCGAAGGCGGCCCCCUGGACGAAGACUGACGCUCAGGUGCGAAAGCGUGGGGAGCAAACAGGAUUAGAUACCCUGGUAGUCCACGCCGUAAACGAUGUCGACUUGGAGGUUGUGCCCUUGAGGCGUGGCUUCCGGAGCUAACGCGUUAAGUCGACCGCCUGGGGAGUACGGCCGCAAGGUUAAAACUCAAAUGAAUUGACGGGGGCCCGCACAAGCGGUGGAGCAUGUGGUUUAAUUCGAUGCAACGCGAAGAACCUUACCUGGUCUUGACAUCCACAGAACUUUCCAGAGAUGGAUUGGUGCCUUCGGGAACUGUGAGACAGGUGCUGCAUGGCUGUCGUCAGCUCGUGUUGUGAAAUGUUGGGUUAAGUCCCGCAACGAGCGCAACCCUUAUCCUUUGUUGCCAGCGGUCCGGCCGGGAACUCAAAGGAGACUGCCAGUGAUAAACUGGAGGAAGGUGGGGAUGACGUCAAGUCAUCAUGGCCCUUACGACCAGGGCUACACACGUGCUACAAUGGCGCAUACAAAGAGAAGCGACCUCGCGAGAGCAAGCGGACCUCAUAAAGUGCGUCGUAGUCCGGAUUGGAGUCUGCAACUCGACUCCAUGAAGUCGGAAUCGCUAGUAAUCGUGGAUCAGAAUGCCACGGUGAAUACGUUCCCGGGCCUUGUACACACCGCCCGUCACACCAUGGGAGUGGGUUGCAAAAGAAGUAGGUAGCUUAACCUUCGGGAGGGCGCUUACCACUUUGUGAUUCAUGACUGGGGUGAAGUCGUAACAAGGUAACCGUAGGGGAACCUGCGGUUGGAUCACCU
rnacentral:rRNA from 1 species